GGAUGGAUCACCUCCUUUCUAAGGACUAUAUAUACUAAAAUCAUCAUCUUCAGUUUUGAAAGACUUAAGUAGAAAAUAAGUUUUUCUUUUAAGCGUCAAAGGGCCUAUAGCUCAGUUGGUUAGAGCACACGCCUGAUAAGCGUGAGGUCGGUGGUUCAAGUCCAUUUAGGCCCACCAAAAAAAGGUCCUGCUUAAAAAGUUCUUUGAAAAGUAGAUAAACAUGCUUUAAAAUUUUCAUAAAGUUGAAGGAAGUAAGGGCAUAUAGUGGAUGCCUUGGCACUAAGAGCCGAUGAAGGACG
rnacentral:misc_RNA from 1 species